AAAGGGCAAAGGCCCUGAAUAGAUACUUUUCCAAAGAAGACAUACAAAUGUCCUUGGGUACAUGAAAAAGCAUUACACAUCACUAAUCAACAGGGAAAUUCAAAUCAAAACCAAAAUGAGACAUCACAUGACCAACUGUUUUAAAUACUAGCCUAGCUCAAGUAAAAUGAGGUAAAAAAUUGACUACAAGAUUUACUAACAUGGAGGGUAAUAGUUACCUAAAUAAGGAGAGUUUAGACUGGUAGAAACAAAAGACUGAUUGAAGAGGUGCAAGGAAAACUGGGAGGGAAGAGACUGAAAUUGGCAUCAGAAUAUAAGUAAAUAUAGACAACUCUAUUCAGAAGUGUUUUGUUUGUCUUUUAUAAAGGGAAGACGAGAGAUGGCACGACUGCCGGAGGGGGAAGUGAGGUCAAGAAUUUUGUUGGAGAAUUAGUUCUAGUGGCAUAACGAGAGGGGAUCAGGACUGGUGCGCAGUGUGACAUGAGUUAGCAGCGCCAUAUACAGAGCUCCAUGGGGAUUAGAUACUGGAGAUGAGAGAUGACCAAGACAUAUGAGCUUCUCAUAGUAAUUGACGUGACAGAUAAGGGACAUGUUGAAAUUAGUCCUGAUGGCCUCUUGCUGACAGCACGACAAUAGAAUGAGUGCUGAAGGGAGAGAGAGAUGGGAGGUCUUUCUGGGAGCACAUGGUGUUCUGGGGCUUCCUGGUGGCUCCUGCUGAUGAAGGCGGAGCCUGCAGAUGCGCACACUUAUUCCCAAGGCAGUGAGAUAUCUCCUCAUUACUGCAGACGAAGGUCUCAUGCUGGGUGCACAGACAGUCUGCUAAUCCCCACUGACAGCAGACUGCAGAGGAUGGCUUCCUCUUGACUUCUGUGGAAGGAGACUCAGAGCCAUCAGCAGGCAGUUAUUUCUUAAUCAACCUAGCAAACCUUGGGGUCUUCUUUGACUUCUGUCAUCUAACUCAUUCCAUACCUUCCAGCUCAUAUCAUCCAAUCCAAUCAAGCAAUAAUUUUUGAUCCCCUUACUUGCAAAGCACAAUUAAAUGUCCUGGGGACAGACAAAGUCCAUCUUUCUUGCUUACAUUCUAAUGUAAAUAGGCAAUGAAGCAGCAGAAAAUAUUAAUUUAGAUAGUGAUAGAGUCAAGCAUUUGUGGUGGUUCUUAGUGUGGUCAAGGAAGUCUUAUCUAUAGAAAAUAGCAUUCUAACAUGUUUUUUUGUCUCCAGUUGCUCCCUCUAUAAUAGUCACUGGUACUAUUCCCCAAAUUUUUUAGUUCUUUUCCUUUACGGCUUAUAGUAUGAUGGCACUCCCUUGCACCAUUAACAUGUGGUUUAGUUAUAAUAGGUUUGACCAGUGAAUUAUGAGCAGAAAUUCCUAUGACAUGUCUGUGUGAAAGUUGUAAGAGCAAGGUGUACAAUUCUUUAUGCUCCCUUCCCAUUCAUGCUGUGAUAUAAAGCAAAUAACAAAAUAGUGCUUGCACAGUCUGGAUUCCUGACGUCCAUGAUUAACAGAGCCAUUCUACAGGUUCGUGGCGUUAAGUGAGAAAAUGUUUGUCGGGUGAAAGCACUGAGGUUUCGGGGUUGUUUGUUAUGGCUACGUACCAAGUGUUUCCUAAUUUUAAAAAAGAUGGAAGAAAAAAAUGGGGUGAUGCUGUCACAAAAAACUUAAAGUAUGUGUCAUUGUCUGGGUGGUCAGUCAGCAAUGGAUAAGGCAACUGUCACGGGACACUGGGAAGAUGCUGAUCCAUAUGCAGUGGUGAAAUAUUUGGUUAAAAUGUCACCCGCAAUUACUUGGUGAAAGAGUUAGAAAACAGCAUGAGUAGAGAAAGGAGAUGGAAAACAGAAUGUUAGCAGCAAGUGUUUGUUGCUGGAGGCUGCAUCUGACAAGGUAGUAAGGAAAAGGAUUGGUCAGUUUGCACAUCAAAGGAUUACAAGGAAAUAGAGUGUAUCCAAAGAAUCGGACACUCUUAAGGAGGAAAAAGGCAACUGCUUCUCAACUCCAAGCCAACUCCAAUAAAAAUGAUAAGUCUUUGAGCUACAUAUUCUUUCUUGAAACCUCCGAAUGGCUGAAAGUUUCUUGGAGCAAAGGUCCAGCCAAGGAUGUGCUGCCCAGUGUAUCUGUUCAUCUGGAGAAAUGGCUCAAGGAGAAGAUACCACGGGGCUUCUGCUCCCACCAAAUCUGACCACUCAAGGUCUGAAAGAAACAGCAGCAGGCCUAGAAUUCAAAAGAAGUAUUUCUAGGAAAGAAAUGUGUGCAUAACUGUUGGCACAGAACUACGUAAAAUCAAAUAGAUUAAAAAACUGCUCCAUUUUUAAAAAGAGUCAUACUACCAAAGAAAUAUGAAACUGCUCUAAAAAAAAAGUCAGUGCUUUCUGGAGCUUGUAUACCACCCUCAAGCUUCUAGGGCAGAAAGCUGUUUGAGAGUUUCUCAGCUCCUAAAGAAGGUUUAUAGUCCCAUGUUCCCUUCAGGUGUCAAGUCCAGGCAGAUAAGAGAAAACCAGGAAAUUCCCAGAACGUGAGAUCAUGGGUUUCAGGAAACAACUGACUGGCGACUGCCUCCCAGGAAGCAAACUUGGUACCUAAACUAGCAGAAGGUCCCAUUUCACCUAGCAGGGGGCCUCUGCCCCACUGCUUAUCCUGUCUCAUGCCACAGUGUGCACUGGUGUAGGGGAGCCGUGGGUUUCUGCCACGAAGAACCACAUCUGGACGUGGCUGUAGGGACAACUGUGCAACCAACUGGAUGUUGAGAUUGGAUGGGAUAUUAGAGUGUGUCCUGUGGGGAGGAGUGAAUUUGUUUUGUGUUUAGGAAGAAACCUGAGCGGGUGUUGGUGACCAGAAGUGUGGAUGGUGGGAGUCCUCCGUGCAGCUUACUGGGUCAGCUGGAUCUGGAGCUUCUUCCUUUAGGCUCAUGUUGUACAUUCAUCAAGGAGGAAAGCAUGAGGACCACUGAUCUUGAAAUACAAAUAAUUAAUGAGGAGCAUAAAAAUGACAAUUAUUCUGAUAAUUUGCAGCAGGAUGAUCAUUAAGAUUUAUAUGUUCUAUUCAUAUGAUCGAUCUUAAAAUAAAUCCGCAGAAAUCAUGGACCUGGAGCAGAGCAGAACUUGCAGGAUGAAGUGAAUGGAAAACUGCUUCAGAGGACAGCGUGGUUUAGGGAUUUCCCUGGGACCAAAGGGAUCAGCCACUCCAUUCCAGUUCUUAACUGUGUCUCUAAGAGCAACACACUGUCCUGCAGAAUUCGCAGGUAGAAGCUGACUUUCACCUCCUCGUUUUUGUUAAUAACUGCACUAUCUUUUAAGGGACUUGAGAACAGAAACACUGUUCCAAAGAGAUAGCAUGAAAUAAUUUCUGAAAGGCUUAGGGACGGUUCCAACAAAGCAUCCUUUGGUUUUCUUCAUUGGCUUUGGAGCUAAGAUGAAAAAUGCCACCCUGAAGGCUGGAUCCAUCCUAUUGUUUAAAUUCAUUUCUUCCUAGUAAGUAUUUCUAUGAAAGCAGCUAGUUUAACUCGGCUUCAAGAUCAGUUUUGCAGAAAUAAGUUUAGUACGGCUGUUUGAUCACUGUAGAGCUGGCAAUAGGACCCUGUUGCACUGGCAUGGCACAAGAGAUUAAUCUUCAAAUCAUUACCAUUUUGCUUAUUUAUGGAUCACAGUUGAUUUUUUUCUAAAGUACAGAUUUUCAAACUGACUAAAAAGUCUCAUUGGAAAUCUAUUGCCACACACUCAUGCAAAUUUUGGUUUGAUUAAAGUGGAUCAAUGUGAAACUGUGUUCAAAUAUUUUCUGUUAUCUUACAACAAAGACAGUAAGAUAAAAGACUCAAAUAAACAAGAGAGAAAGAGCCUAGAAUUUGGAGAAUAUAGUUAGGGUAGGAGAAAAACACUUUCAAGGAAAGAUUCCUCAUUACGAGAAAUGAGGUAAAGAAAGCAGUAAUUUACAUCAGGAGCAAGCAUUCUAAAGGUAUCUAAGAUAAAUGAGCAUCCUGAUUAAAAUGUGAGCGUCCCAAGACAGAAUUUUGAGAGAAACAAGAGAGGAGAGAUAGAAGAAAAUGAAGAUUAGCUCCUGGAGUCUGGAAUCAAAAUACUGUUGGGGAGAUUAAAUUCUGGAAUUCUUUAGAAGAACUAAGGUGAAAAAAGGUUAGAUGCCCCUCUUUGAUCACUACUUGUUUCUGCGCUAAGUCCAGAAGCACAGUUUUUCGGGGUAGGUAUAAGAGGGGCAUAAUUUAUACUUCUGAUUUGGGCAAACAAGUAAGAACAUGUUUAUAAUGUGUACUUACAGCUGGGGUGGCUGGUGACUGUCCACGUCACAUAUUUUAUGUAAGCAUUUUAUUCUCCCUUUACAUUGUAUCUGUGCUUGUAUUUACUUAAAAAUUAUUUCAGUGAAUUAAAAUUAUAAUUUAAUAAUUAUUUUAGGUAGGAAAAACAAAAGUAACUAGAUGAUCAUUAAUCAUGUUACAUUUUGAUAUUCUCUAAUAAAAAUGGGCUAAAUUUUAGAACCAUUAUCCCAACAACUGCACACAGGAAGCUUGAGUUGUCCCACAGACGGUCGGGAGGGGGCGCCACUAUUUUACACAGGUAGUCCUGAGCAAGUUGCUUACGAUUUCUGAACUUCAAUUUCUUAUUUCAGAGAUGCGAACAGUUUCUUUCUUUUGCUCUUUAAUUAAGUGCUUAUGCAUAUGAUUGGAUAAAUUUUGAAGUGCCAUUCCUUCCUCUUAAAACUUCUGCAUCUGCUUUCUCCUCAGUUGAAUUUGCAACUCAAGCAUGAGAAAUAUCAAGUAUAGAUUAAUAAGAUGCCUCCAUAAUAAAGAGGAGAAAGAACAUAUUGCUCUUCAGGAUCAGUGUGACAACUCCAAAAUUUUCUCAAUUUAGGUAACAGAGGGAUCUUUCACAAAAUUUUAGUCCUGAUGAGUGUUAUCAUUUUAGAGACACAUGAAAUUAUUUUAGUGAUUGUGUUAAGAUCAAUCUGAAAAAAAAUGUCAAUAUCCUACAUCAGCACACACCAUCAUAUCACAAACAAUGAGAGAAAGUGGUCAGCUUCUUUGAGAUUUGUAUAUUAGAGUCAAAAGUUACAAGUUAGUGUAAAUUUUACAUUAAUUUGUAUUUGAAUAAAUCUCCAAGGACACACUUGCUUUCUACUCCUCUUCAUAUAAAACAUAUAACACAUGUAGCAAAUGAUGAAAGUCUGUGUCCCCAAAUACGAACAGUUUAUGCACACCGCAGGCCUCCAGGCCACCACACACAGCAUUUGCUUCAGAAGCACAGAAACGAUGUGGAAAAGAGUGAACAGUGGCCCUCAGAAAGGAAGCUGGGGCCCUGUCAGCUAGCCCUGUGUUUGUUUGUUUCUGACAUGCAUCUGUCUUCCAAACAGACCCGAUGGAUGAUGCACUUAAAGGGAAACAGAUGGCACAGCAGAGGUGCCUCCUCUCCUUGCAAAGCAAUGACACACCCAAAUCAUUUGCAUCAGUAAAUUUAGCAAUUCCAUGGUUCACUGCUUAUAAUGAAACACCAGGAUUUCUGAUUCUUCAUCUAACAAUAUUUGAAAUCUCACAUUUAUUCAGUGUUCAGAGAGAUAAUGUCCUAGCAAAUAAUUACAGGUCCAUUCAGGUCAAGGUCUUUUAUAGCCAUUUUCGGACACACUCCAAAACGCAUUAUGGCUGUAAAACACUAGUCACUGCGAGUUAUCGCUGUCCUUAUCCUCGCAUCCCAGUCAUCACACUUAAUGAUCUGCUUGCUCAUAUCCCUGGUGCCCUUGACUUUCUCUCAGGCUGCUUAAUUGACAAAAUUCCGUUGGUAAAUGUGAGCAAUGUGCAAUUUCUCAGAGAAUUACUUCCUAAAUAAAAACACAAAGAAACACAUCAUGCAAAGCACAUAAUAUAUUAUUAUGUGAUUAUCUUCUUUUGUAAAAUGACAGCUGGUAGCCUUCUUUUCAAUGCUUUUGUGGUCACUUUCUUUCUUUCUUACGGACACUAUUUUUUUUUUAAGGUUUUGACUGUACCUCCUUUCAAAGAUCACAUGUGCAUGUGGAUGUGGAUAGUGUUCACUCUUAAAAAAUCACCUUAUGUAACAGGAAAGACUGGGAUGCUGUUAUUUCUUCUGAAGAAGCAGAGGGCAGCGACAGCGCCCGUGGACCAAGGAGGUUAGCAGCUGGUGCAGCAGGAGCUCAGGCUGACUGACGCCCCUUCCACUCCAGGAUUCAGUGGCAGCAGAAUCAGAUCCAGUGAUUAAAUGUUUACGUGUUCUCUCAUUCGACUGCAGAGUGUGGAGAAAGUUUUCAAACUCUGUGUAUUUAGUUUUAAUAUGUUUUCAAAUGUUCAGAGCAGAAAAAAUAAUCCCCUUAAGGGAACUAGACAAAACUCUGUUGUUACUCUUAAGGGCCAGUCUUCGCCAUCUACAGUCUGCUAAAGGAGAGUGUUUAAUUAUUAUAUGCAGGCUUGUUUUUAUAGCUGCUCUAGGUGUCAACCAGGAAUAUUGAGAAGUGAAUUACUGGAAACCAAGUUGCCAAUUAAUAUUUUCCUUUAUUGCAAAAAAAAAGUUAUAUAUGUGAAAUUAGGAAUUU